CCCCCCCCUCACCAGGUGUACACUACAGACCAUAUAUAACAUGGCCCCCCCUCACCAGGGGUACACUACAGAUCCUGUUUGACUCCUGUAUAACAAACCAUUAAACCAUACAACUACAGCAUGUUCUGUACCCAGAGUUAUCUCUCUUGUUUUAUUCAACCAAUUCAAACAUCAUCUUAUAGAAUUUGAAUUAUCCGAGAAGAACAUCAUAUAGUCUAUGAACUCGUAUUUCAUUAUCAAAAUGUGUGUUAUAGACUAGCAUUAUGGAUUUAUCAAUAUAAUGUCAUUAACAGAUUAUUUUGAAACAACCCAUAAUUUAUUUAGUCAAAGACUAUAGAAAUUAUUUAAUUUUGUAUCAACAAAAUCGUACAUUUUUUAAUUGCAAAUUUUCCAUAAAUAAAAUAACGACGAAAAAUGAUGCUGAGAUGUAGACAAUUAAUAUAUUCACUCCGGCCUUAGCUAACGAUAGCGAUAAUGAAAAUAUUCAGUCUGACCUUGGUUACAGCGGAUGAUAAUAUAUUCACUGACCUACGUCACAGUUACGAUUAUUAAUAUAUUCACUCUGACCUUAGCUAACAAUGAUGAUUAUUAAAAAUAAUAUAUUCACUCUGACCAUAGCUAACAGUGACGAUUAUUAAUAUAUUCACUCUGACCGUAGGUAACAGUGAUGAUUAUUAAUAUAUUCACUCUGACCUUAGCUUACAGUGACGAUUAUUAAUAUAUUCACUCUGACCGUAGCUAACAGUGACUGUUAUUAAUAUAUUCACUCUGACCUUAGCUAACAGUGACGGUUAUUAAUAUAUUCACUCUGACCUUAGCUUACAGUGACGAUUUAUAAUAUAGUCACGCUGACCAUACCUAACAAUGAUGAUUAUUAAUAUAUUCACUCUGGCCUGUGACCUCUGCAGUGUGCAUGUGUCGGCUUACUAUACCAUGUAUAUUACGUACUUUAUUUUUCCAUGUAUUAAUGGAUGUGUGUGAUAGUCACAUUAAAUUUGCAUAUCAAGAGUUACUGAUCAUGACGCUUACAAAUAUGAAGUUUUAAUAACAGGUUCAAAUAAAUUUAUGUACAAGA